GACUCUCGGCAACGGAUAUCUCGGCUCUCGCCACGAUGAAGAAUGUAGCGAAAUGCGAUACUUAGUGUGAAUUGCAGAAUCCCGUGAAUCAUCGAGUCUUUGAACGCAAGUUGCGCCCGAGGCCUCGGCCGAGGGCACGUCUGCUUGGGCGUAGCACUGCAA
rnacentral:rRNA from 1 species